UCCUUUGAGAGUGGUUCGAGUGCGCACCACCCCCCUCUACUGUGGAGUGGACGGGAGGGGGGCGGACGGGAGUCCCGGAGGGCGGGGGAGGGGGUCGCCGCACCCCGCCUCCCGCAUUCCUCUCAACAGGCCGUUCUCCGGGGGAGGGGCUGCUCGUGGACGGAACAGGAAGUCGGAUUCUUAAAGACACCUUCAGGAACACAGCGUCCAGGCAAGUUGACUUCAGGUUCACCUCCGGAUUCUCGCUCAUUUCAGGCCUCUUCCUUCUUCCCACUUCUAAGGGGGACGGGGGAGAUGAAGGUGGAAAGGGACGCCUGUCCUGGACUUGGGAGGUGUUGCCCUUGUCCCUGUGUGCUCACUGCUGCUUCUCCACCUGGUCACCGGGGUGCUCGCGCUGUGGCCCCGGUGUGCGCACUUGGCAAGACAGGGUGGAGUGGGAGUGAGGGUCCCUGCCACAGGGUCCCCCCAGGUCCCGCCCCAAGUUGCUAGUCACCUACCUCCAGCUGCUUCUGAUGUAGGAAAGAGGGAGUUGGGGCUCAACACCGAUGGCCAAGGAAGAAUUCUGGAGAUGUCUUUGGUGCAAAAAGAUCAGCAGGCAUGCUUCCGUACCUGCCACCAGUGGCCCUUGCUGAGGGCCCUCCUGUGCACUGUGUCAUCUCAGCUCCCAAAUACCCUCAUUAUUCCCACUUUGUAGAUGAGAAAACUGAGGGAUGAGAUGGGAUUCAUCUGGAAAAAGGGCUCCCAUGGGGCUGCCAUCGGGACAGCAGCCGGGGUCUCGGUCUCAUCUGAAGGCAUCCCGGGCUGGAGGGCCCACUUCUGCGAUGGCGUCCCACACCGCAGUUGGCCGAAGGACUCAGUUUCUCCUCCACUGGCUCUCCAGAAGCCUACUUAAGUGUUCUCAUGACGUGGCUCUUUCUACAGUGAGCGACCAAAGCCAAAACUAUGGGGACCUUUAUCACUAAGGUCUCUGAUAUCAGCAAGUCAACUGACGUCAGCCCACGCUCAGCGGAGGCAAAUUAGGACCCACCGCUGGAAGGAAGAGCAUCAGAGAACUUGUGGACAGAUUUUUAAAACCGUGGCAACAGAUAAAGGGAUGGUGUACCCACUGUUCUUCCGUGACACUGGGAUCUUAGCAUGAUCUCAGCGCAUAGCCCGCUUGUGAAAUUCACCUGGGAUGCUUCUAGACACUCUCCGAGCCGGGGUGCCAACCCCAGGCCCUCUUAAGGACUUGCUCUGAGCAGAGACUGGACAUUUGUGGGUUCGUUUUGUGGGAAGAUCUUAAACUGUAGCCGUAACAUUUCUGUUUCCACCGCAUUUUGUUACUGUGGUAAAACGUGCACAUUGUAAAACAGACCGUUUUAGCCUCUUUCGGAGGUGUGGCUCCGUGGCAAUGGGUUUAUUCAGGUGGUGGACCCCUCCCCUCCAGAAAUGUUCAUUUUCUGAAACUGAAGCCCUACCUGUUCAACCCCAACUCCCCAUUCCUCCCUCCCCAGCCCACAGCGAGGCCAUGUUCCGUCUCUGAGUUCCCCCCGCUCCAGACCCAGCGGAGUGGAUGGAACCCCGGGGCCUCGGGCGUGAUUGACUUAGCACAGUGACGUCAUUGUAGGCACGUCAGAGCUUCAUUGCUGUUGCAGCUGAAUAACCUUCCGUUGUCUGGAUGGACCCCGUUUUGUUUAUGCAUUGUCCGUCAGUGGGCAUUGAAGACAGUAUCCACGUUGGUAUUGUCAAGGCUACCAGGGAUGAAAAACAAGGCCUUAGACGGGGGCCUCACAGUCCUGGCUGCACGUGCCAUUCACCUGGUAGCGGUUCAAAAAAUACCAACGCCCCAUGAGCCUGGCCGACCCCCUGGAUCGGGAUCUCUGCGGGUGGGGGGGACCCAGGAGUCUGUAAGAAUAACCAGUUCCUUCCCCUAGAACGCCAGGGGGUGCGGACUCAUUGCCAAGCCUCUGCUGCCCCCUUGUGGCAUCAUCUGGGAUCCUCCCUCCCCCGGGACUCGCCUGCCUGCUCAUAAGGAGCCCAGGAGGGCCAGGCCCCCAUGCCAUUCCCUGACCACAGCUGCGUCUGGACAAGUCCCUGAGAUCACAGUUACGGAUGCGGGUUAGCUUUGGGGAGCACCUGGAAUUCCUCGGCAGCCUCGGCACUGCUGACAUUUCGAAACCCUACAAAACCACCUCCGUGGAGAGCCACUGCCCCACGAGUGUGUGAUGCCUGCAGGAGGCAAAGCCAGCAGAUGGAGAAGGUGCGGCAGGAGGGCGCUGGCCUGGCCCAGUCGGGGUGGACCCUGGCAUGGUGAGGAAAUGGUGGUUCAGAGAGGUCAUCGGACUUGCCCAAGCCCACACAGCCUGGAGGAGGAAUCACUUCAGUGCAAACUCAGGAUCUUCCCACAAAGCAUCCUGUUUGGUUCUUGGCGGAUAGUUUGGAAGUGGAGGUGGUUGUACCCUUUGAAAGAGGGAGGAAUGGGAACCAGAGAUCGCUUGCCAAGGUCUGGAGAGACUGAGAUGAGUGAGGGGCCCAGGAGAGACCCUAAAAGGAAAAGAUUCAGGAGGCAAUCGCUCUCAGGCUCCCACCCACUCUUGCCUCACUCAGGUCCCAGCCCAGCUGACUGCUUCUUGACCAUAGAACAUGAGAUCGGCAAAAGCCUCUUGUACCAUAAGGCUAGAGCAGUCUCGGAUCCUUCAGAGCUAGACUCGAACCCGUGGUGACAACAGACCGAUAAAGUGACACCUGCUGCAUGAGAGGCAGCAGAGUUCUGGCUCAGCCCCUGAGAUAGUGUCCCUGACCCUUCAUGCUGUGCUGUUUUGGGGUGGGGCUACUUCCUUCCCUGGAGGUGUUUGAGAAUUAGACUCUGCCUUGAAGAGAGUUCCAGGUGGACCUCUGGAGAGAUGGGGAUCACCCCAUCAUCAAACCCAUUUCGUCCUUAAGGUUCUCUUUCCGCUUGUGGUAGGAAUGGAAAACCAUGGCUGGUUUUCUCUGGAUGUAGCCUGGGCCCAGCCUCCACCUGCUGCCAGCCCACCGCGGGCCCCAGGGCCUCUGAGAUCGCCCCUGGCAUGAGAGUAACCGUAUUUUAUCAAACACAUCUGCCAAGGGGACAUUGCCUUUAGCGAUCAACAUCUCAUGCCUCACUGAGCCCUCACCGGUCUUUAGAGGCAAGGACUUGGUUGUCUCCACAUUCUAGAUGAGGACACUGGGGCCCAGAGAAGGUGAGCAACCUGGCCAGAGGCGGGAUUUGAACCCACAACUCCAGAGGCACAUUCCUCACCGUGAUAUCCCGCCCCUCCAUUUCCCAUGAGCUCUGAGCUUGCUGAGGGCUGGCCACUAGACUGGGGAAACCCACUGUCCUGUGGACCUUGGGGAUCCCCAAGGCUGGAGGCCUGGAGGUCCCCAGAAUUCUAGAGAGUUUUCAGGAGGUCACUGUAGGGUUAAAGCAGGUUCUAUCUUCCCCCGACUUCCUUGGGUGGGAGGUUCCCAGAAGUACAGGGCCGGCUCGGUGGUGGCCCCUUUUCCCGCGAGGGGAGGGAGAGAUAGGAGUUGGGACAUGUCCUCUUUGAAGGUUUUCUCUUGCUGCUCUGACCACUUCCUCUUUUCCCUGGGGCGGAGGCCACUGUGUCGGCACUAAUAGCAGCCCUGAGGCCUUUGUGUCUCUCCUGGAAGGGCUCGGCUGCCUGGGCAAAGAGCCCUUUUCCACCAGCACUUCCAUCCCCGCCCCUCCAGGGCCUCCCCUGAGCCCCCGGGGGCAGGGAGUGGGCUGCCUGAGCUCUCCCUCAGCCAGACUGAAAACACUGCCUACCCGCUCUGGCUGCCCACCCUCCUUACAGGCUCCACGGGGGCUGAAACUGCCUCCAGAAACUUCCAUGGAGGAUGUGGCCCAAGUUCAUGACUCCUGAACUCCAGCCAGACCGGUCUGGAUGCUCAGGGAGGUGAGGACCCCGGCCCUGGGUAAGUGCUCCAGCCUAGCCCUGGGCAUCUCAACCAUGAGUGCCCCUGGUGGGCUGAGGAGCUGCGGCCUGGGAAGAAGAUGGGCUUUGAGAAAUGUGCACUUGGCCAGGUUGCUUUUCUUCUUGGACCUCAGUUUUCCCAUCCAUGCAAUGGGCACAAAGAAGACCCCUUCCAGAGGUUGCAGAAAUAAACGUGGUGCUGUAUGUGUCGUGUUAGGCAGAGAGCCUGGGACACAGCAAGGGUUUAGGGCCUAGCCUGGGUCCGGCAGAGCCUGCAGCGGGUCUGAGCCACCCAGGGCUCACCCCUCUCCCCCAGGCCCUGCUGAGGGAACCCAGUCGCAGCUCCCCCAGUCUGUUCCCCACCUCCGCCUGUCCCAGCAUCCCUCGCUUCCCUCCUGUAGCAGAUACAGCCCUCAAGCUCAGCUUGACAGGGAGUGUGACCGCUGCUCUGUGGCUUGUAGGCUCCCCAGCCCCUCUAGCCAGUCAGGUCAAACAGCAAAUGUCAGUCCCUGUUGGGGUGUGCCCAGCCCAGCGCUAUCCCAAAGCCCUAGGUCAAGGUUUGUUUCAUUGUGGUAAAAUAUGUGUAACAUAAAAUGAACCAUCUUUAACCAUUAAGUGUACAGUUCGUGGCUUUAAGGACACUCACACUGUUGUGCAACCGUCACCAUUCUCCACCUCCAGAACUUUCUCAUCUUCCUGGACUAAAAGUCCGUCCUUGUUCAACACAACUCCCCACCCCUGGCCCCAGCCCCAGCAGCCACCCCUCUGCUUUCUGUCUUGACCCAUUGGACCGCCCUCCGUCCUUCUAUAUGGGAUCCUACAGACUUGGCCUUUUUGUCACUGGUUUAUUUCAAUUAGCAUAAUGUCCUCAAGGUUCCUCCCUGUUGGAGCAUGAGUCAGAAUUUCCAUCCUUUCUCUGUUUGAAUAUCGUCUCCUUCUCUGUUGAGACCAAGUUGUGCUCAUUCGCCUAACCCUCAGGGUCCUAACCCUCAGGGGACCCUUGGCUAGCUCACACACCCUGGCUGUCUCGAACAAUGUGUGAGCAACACACACGGGUGUGCAAAUGUCUGAGACCCAGUUUUCAGUUCUUUGGGGGUGUAUACCUAGAAGUGGAAUUUCUAGAUCAUGUGGUGAUUAUGUUCAACUUUUUUGAGGAACUGCCCAAAGUCUUGGGGUUUCAAGUAGGACACAAACAUUGGGGAAGGCCCCUCAGGCCACACUGUGGACAGGGAGAUACAGAAUCAGGAGCUAGACAUCAUGGGUUCAAAUCCUGGUUCUGCCACUUCCCGAGGGGGUGACCUUGGGUGGGUCACUUACCCUCUGUGCAUCAGUGUCUCAGCUGUACUGUGGGAUGCGGGCAGCAGCUGCCUUGUGGGGCUGAGGUGGUGCGGGGAGCAUGUCCUUAGAACGGUGCCUGGGCCCCAGAAGCUCUGGUAACCGUUCGCUCUGUGUUGUUCCAGGGAUCUGAUCCUGCGAACCCGCUGCUUCCGUGGCCCUCCCCCAGCUUGGCCCCUCCAUAGAGCAUCCUUUUGGAGUCAGCCCUCUUCCCUCCCCAGGACUCUGAUUUCUUUCCCCCCUCUUUUCCAGGUCCCUGCGACUCUGUCUUCAAUGAGGGAGUUUCUCUUUCCCUGUCCAUGGUUAACCUCUUGAGGAAAAAAGAAAUCAGGAAGCAAUGGCUCCGACUAACUCUGGGAGGGCCUGAGCGCAGGAGGGGAAACCAAGGCCGAUCGAUGGUCAUGGGCACAGGAGAAGAGGAGCCAUUUCUUCCUUUGACCUUGAUCAUGCCAUUCUCCUGUGGCCACGUUCAGUCUGGGUCCUGAGUUUGGGGAGGGGUGCGGAGAGCUGGGAGGGUCCCUGAGGACCGCCCACAGGCAUGAUGACAGGGACGGGGAGGAGGCUCUCUGGAUUGAGAUGAAAGGAGCCGUGGUUUGGCGCUUUCGUCUCGAGGAAAGCCAGCUGGAGGGUUCCGGUUAGUGGGGGCUGAUUACCCCUGUCCCUCGGCCAGCAGCCAGGGAUCCAUGGGCUCUAGUCCCACCUCUGGUGGAGCCCCAGCUGGUGUGCGGGUGCAGCCUGGCCAGCUUGCCUGGUCUGGGUCCCCGGCGUAUACUCCCCGCUUCCUUGCAGGAGCUGCUUCUGCCGGCUCCGGGUGGCUCCAGGAGAAAGGUCAAGGCAAGACCUGGCAGGCUGAGGGCUUUGGUCCUUAGAGACCCUGCCUGGAGGUUGACCCUCGUCAUCGAGGUUGGCUUCUGUUUUUUGCCUCCUCCACCUGGGACAGGAUAGGACGGAGAAGCCUCCGGGAUGCCCCCCACCCCGUACCCCUUCCCAUUCUCUCCCUUUCCCAUCCUCUUUCUUUUCCUGUUUUGUCUUCUCUGUUCCUUUCCGCAUACCAGGUAGUAGGUGAUGUGGAAAUUCACAAAGCAGUGCACCUCUCUUCACAGUUUAUCGACAUCCAGAGCCUGGUAAGGAACCAGCACUCAAUUUCACUCAAGUCGCCUUUAGUGAAGGACUUUCUGCAUGGCCCUGUGGCAGAGCUCAUGAACGGGGACCACACCUGACGUUUCUCCCUAGCAUUGUCAAGACCAGCCUGUCUCCCAUAUUUGCCGACGUCCACCAAGGGGCACUAAUAUUUGUUCUGGGGCAUUGGAUAAAACAUGCCACAAAGAUUAAGUAGAAAAACAUGUAGAAAACGCCUGGAGCAUCGUAGUCGUUAAAAAAAAAUAGUUACCAUUAUUUUUUAUUUUUUAACACAAUGAUUAUAUAAAAAGGGAGGACAGUGGUUUUUUGUUUUGUUUUAAAGAUUUUAUUUUUUCAUUGAG